rnacentral:lncRNA from 1 species
CGGAGGGGCAGAGACACCAGAGCACCCACUUGCAGCGCUCACUUAUUAAAACACCUGAAGAGGAAGCAGAGCCUUGAAGAGUGUAAUCUACUUGAACGCCUGCGUUCUCAGGAAGCGAGGCAGGCUACCAGCCCUCUCGGAAACUGAGGCAACUCUCCAUAAAAUCAGUAGGGAAGGUGAGCUGGGAUUCAGAUGGUGGCCUGAACUCUUCACCAGGACUCUUCACUGACCCCUGGGCGUUCCAGAUCUGUUCCAGUACCAACAUUCUUUGAAAUAAAGAAGUUCCAGAUAGAGAGGACUCUGCCA